rnacentral:lncRNA from 1 species
AUGAGGGCGGGGCCUCCGGGGAGGAAGCGGCUAGGGCGGACCGGUGGAGAGCCUCGGGGAGGAGGGGGCGGGGGAGAGGGCGGGGCCUGCGGGGAGGGCGGGGCCUCCAAGGGGAGGAGUCGGAGGGGCGGGAGAAGCGGAAGGGCUCGCGAAGGAGGCGGGGGUCGUGGAGGGGCGGAGAGGGCGGGGCCUACGGGGAGGGCGGGGCCUACGGGGAGGGCGGGGCCUCCAAGGGGAGGAGUCGGAGGGGCGGGAGAAGCGGAAGGGCUCGCGAAGGAGGCGGGGGGGGGGGGGCGGAGAGGGCGGGGCCGGCAGAGAGGGCGGGGCCUCCAGGGGGCGGAGUCGGAGGAGCGGGAGAAGCGGAAGGGCUCGCGAAGGAGGCGGGGUCGUGGAGGGGCGGAGAGGGCGGGGCCUGCGGAGAGGGCGGGGCCUCCAAGGGGAGGAGUCGGAGGGGCGGGAGAAGCGGAAGGGCUCGCGAAGGAGGCGGGGUCGUGGAGGGGCGGAGAGGGCGGGGCCUACGGGGAGGGCGGGGCCUACGGGGAGGGCGGGGCCUGCGGAGAGGGCGGGGCCUCCAAGGGGAGGAGUCGGAGGGGCGGGAGAAGCGGAAGGGCUCGCGAAGGAGGCGGGGUCAUGGAGGGGCGGAGAGGGCGGGGCCUGCGGGGAGGGCGGGGCCUGCGGAGAGGGCGGGGCCUCCAGGGGGCGGAGUCGGAGGUGCGGGAGAAGCGGAAGGGCUCGCGAAGGAGGCGGGGUCGUGGAGGGGCGGAGAGGGCGGGGCCUGCGGGGAGGGCGGGGCCUGCGGGGAGGGCGGGGCCUCCAGGGGGCGGAGUCGGAGGAGCGGGAGAAGCGGAAGGGCUCGCGAAGGAGGCGGGGUCGUGGAGGGGCGGAGAGGGCGGGGCCGCGGAAGGGCGGCGGAGGGGCGCGCCGAACCUUGGGGGGAACCUGAUGGAGGCGGGGCCAGCGGAGGCAACGGGGCGGGGUGAUCGCGGCCGCCGUGGGGGUCAAGGGGGCGCGCAGACAUCGCCUCCCAGCCGUAUUCCACCACCUCCGCCCGUAGCCCAUGCCCGCCGCUUCUUCCCGACGGACCUCAGGGCAGUUACCCGGCCUAGCGCAGUCCGGAUCCUUCGGGCUGGCGGCUCCAGGGACUUCGGAAGGAAGGGAGCACACUCCGGUGGACGAAGAGAAGUGAGUGUAUCGGCGCCUCGAGCGCUAAGAAAAGCCGCCGCGGUCCCGACUGUGCGGGCCAAUGAGGCUGCGCCCCUGCGGCCGGGCGGACGCACGCUGCCCAAUUAG